AAGUAGAAAGCUAAAAAGCAUUUAAUUUCGACUUAAAAGACUGAUACUAAAAGUAUCUCUAUUUA
rnacentral:tRNA from 1 species